CAGCACCUCAAGUGGUCAGGAUGAUUAUUGGGCCUAAAGCAUCCGUAGCCGGCGCUGUAAGUUUUCGGUUAAAUCUGUACGCUCAACGUACAGGCUGCCGGGAAUACUGCAGAGCUAGGGAGUGGGAGAGGUAGACGGUACCCGGUAGGAAGGGGUAAAAUCCUUUGAUCUAUUGAUGACCACCUGUGGCGAAGGCGGUCUACCAGAACACGUCCGACGGUGAGGGAUGAAAGCUGGGGGAGCGAACCGGAUUAGAUACCCGAGUAGUCC
rnacentral:rRNA from 1 species